CUACCGUAUUUUCCGCACCAUAAGGCGCUUCGGGUUAAAAGGCGCAGACUCAAUUGCAGGGUCUAUUUUGUAUUUAAUCCACACAUAGGGUGCACCGCAUUAUAGGGCGCAUGUAUGCCAUGACUUACGGUAAACAAACAAAAAAUAAAACGUCACAGGAGCAAGACAGUGAGUUCGGUUGUACUUUAUUCUAUUGUUUAACCAUGUACUCUACUGUACUCAGAUUAUUGUUAAUCGAUAUUCAUACGCAAAUCAGUCCAAGUCCUCAACUUCUGUAUCCAAAUUAAACAGUUGGGCAAGUUCGCCAUUAAACAUGCCAAGUUCCCUCGUCAUUGUCUCGUCGUUGUCACGGUGCUCUUCGGCAAUGAUCCUGGGUUUCCAGGAAGCUUGAAUAGUGCCUCAUAAGUAUGUCUCUUUGUCUAUGCCAUUUUAGAGGGUCCUAAUGCUGUUUUCUUUGCACAAACGAUAGCAUUUAUUUAUCAAUGGCGGCGGAGGUACGUGCUCAACGGGUUAUGUACAGUCCUCUAAUUGUUUUUUUUGCCCCGAUCUAUGUAAAAGGUAACGUCCUCUGAUUGGUUCAUCGGGUCUUCAUAUUACGCCUGUAUAAUACAGAAGCCACACAAAGCAACUUUACAGAUUUUGGAAUUUGGUCCACGCAAAGGUGCGUUUUUU